rnacentral:lncRNA from 1 species
AUACGGCCCCAGAAUGCCUUAUAGCACCCCAGGAUGCUUUAUAGGGCCCCAGGAUGCUUUAUAGGGCCCUGGGACCCCCUAUAGGGCCCCACGAUGCUUUAUAGGGCCCCACGAUGCCUUAUAGGACCCCACAAUGCUUUAUAGGGCCCUGGGACUCCCUAUAGGGCCCCAGGAUGCUUUAUAGAGCCCCAGGAUGCCUUAUAGGGCCCUGGGACCCCCUAUUGGGCCCCAGGAUGCCUUAUAGGGCCCCACGAUGCUUUAUAGGGCCCCAGGAUGCUUUAUAGGGCCCUGGGACCCCCUAUAGGGCCCCACGAUGCCAUAUAGGGCCCCAGAACACUCUAAAAUGGUCCUGAGAUGACCUAUAGGGCCCUGGGAUGCCCCAUAUGGUCCCUGUGACACCCUGUAAGGCUCCAGGACACUCUAAAAGGGCCCCGGGAUGCCCUAUAAGACCCCAGCACACUCCAUAUGGUCCCUGGGAUGCCUUAUAGGGCCCCAGGAUGCCCUAUAUGGUCCCUGGGACACCCUAUAGGGCCCCAGAGCGCUCCAUAUGGUGCCUGGGAUGCCCUAUGGGGACACUGACCACCCUCAGGAUGUCCUAUA